ensembl:lncRNA
AGGAGGACACAAUUAAAAACCAUAACAGCCAUGAAGUUGAAAAGCAAGGUGCUGUUCUCACCUCUUCGGGGAAGUCCUGUCCAUCCAGCCUGAAGGAUUCCACUGUCCUGGAUCCUUACAUCUAUAGAUUCUCUAAGAUUGAUUUUGGAGUGGGCUGCUGGAAGCCCAAGCUGUUCCACUUACUUUUAGGACCUGGAAGGCCGUCUUCCCAGUGGGUUGCGUAUAACAGAUGUUUUGGCCAGCUUUCAGGUACUUCAAGAAAUUGGGUUUUCCCAUUAUUCAAAGAAGAGAUACGGAGAUUGAGACCAAGUUAUCUCACAGCGUGUCUCCACCUACUAUAUAAGGAGGGACAAAAAAGCCGCCACAGUGGACUAAAUGACCCAAGAAAAAGUCAUCACGCUAUGAUUUCAGAGUCAGUUUAGUGAUUAUAAACUAAAAGGGAACUUAUCUACUCUGUACCACACGUGAUGCUAGGCACUUUAUAUG